CAGGAAGCCAGACUGAACAGAUGUGUCUGCCACCACUUCCUGGGGUGGGGUCAGGCCGCACCAGCUUUGAUCAACCAAAGGAGGAAUUUCCAGUGUCAAGGGCCCUCUGCAAAGACUCCCCCAGGGCCUAGCCCAAGAGGUAAAGGAACCAAGGAUUAAAAAGCAACCAGGAGCAUCCCAACUGGCAGAGCAGCACAAAAGACUCCUGCACUACAGAGGAGAUUUGGAGAAACAUGCUAUGGAAGGAGCAAGACAGAUGAAGAGUUGCCUACAUGUUGGAGUGGAAUUCCGUGAGGAAGUUUUGCAAGUUUCAGUCCAUCGUCAGUUGGCUUUGUUCCUUUGGACUUGUGGCAAGGUGCCAUUUCAAGGCAGGAGCACAUGGAGGACCAAAACCGCUCAUCUCAUGGCCAAGAAGUGAAUGAAAAGCAGAGACCAGAGCCCACAGUCCAUCUGGGAGGCAUUGCUGGCAGUGACCCAGAGCUUUCCUACACCCACGUCUUAUAGGUUCUACAAUUCCCCAGUAACACCAGUCUGAGGAGCAAGUCUUUAGCACAUAGACUUUGGAGGGACAUUUAAAAUUCAAAAUCCAGCAGAUGGGUGGGUAUACACUGAGUUUUUCUUUCAGCU
rnacentral:lncRNA from 1 species